AGAGAGUAUAGUUAGUAAUUAAAAAUUUAAAUUUUUAAAUAUCAAAGCAUUAUUAAAACUAGUAAAGGUGAUUAAAAGUUUUUAUAUUACUUAAAUAAAGUACUGUGAAGGAAAGUCUUAAAAUAAGAAAAAGAAAGAAUUAAAAUCUGUACCUUUUGUAUCAUGGCUUAACUAGAUUAUUUUUAUUAUAAAAAAGCUCGAAAUCUAAUGGGCUAUUUUUGAUCGGUGUAGUAGAAUCUAUAAAUAGUUAACUGUGGCAAAAGUUUCUUAAGAAUCAAAAAUAGAAAUGAUAUUUUAAGCGUAUUAGAUGAUAGCUAGUUCUUUAUGAAAGAUAUAAGAGUAUUGCAAGUUGAAAUUUCUUUGUCAACUUUUAGGUUAAUAAAAGAAAGUCAGCCUAGUUACGUUUUUGAGGAUAAGCUCUAAAACAAUUUUAAUUAAAAUCUAUAAUAUUAAGUUACUAAAUUUAAGCUUAGAAAUAGCUAUUAAUUUUAGAUUUUGUUAUAAUUCAUAAAAUAUAUAGAAAAAAAAUAAAUUUAUUGGUUAAAUUAGUAAAGAGAACUCAUUAACUGAAAUAGAGUUGUAUAUAUGUUAGGAUGAGUAUUUAAAAACGUUGUAGAUUCUUAAAAGUUUUAUAUUUUAAGAUUUAAAUAUAUAUUAAAAAUUAAAAUUUCUUAAAGGAACUCGGCAAGUUAUAAUAUUCUGCCUGUUUAUCAAAAACAUGGCUUCAUGAUUUAUAUUUCACAUAUGAAGUCGAGCCUGCCCAGUGAAGUAUUUUAACGGCCGCGGUACUCUGACCGUGCAAAGGUAGCAUAAUCAUUUGCCUUAUAAUUGAAGGCUGGAAUGAAUGGUUUGACAAGAAUAUUACUGUCUCUAAGAGAUUUAUUAGAAUUUUAUUUUUAGGUGAAAAAGCCUUAAUAGUAUUGAAAGACAAGAAGACCCUAUCGAGCUUAAAAGAAGUAGAUAAAAUAAUAUUUAAUUAUUUAAUAUAAAUGUUUACUAAAAAUUUUGGUUGGGGCAACUGAGGAGUAAUUAAAGCCUCCUUUUCUGAAAAAAUAUUUCAAUGAUGAUCCAGGAGUAGCCUGAUUAAAAGAAAUAGUUACCGUAGGGAUAACAGCAUUAUCUUUUUUGAGAGCUCCUAUCGAAAAAAAGGUUUGUGACCUCGAUGUUGGACCAGAAUGUCCUAAAGAUGCAGAAGUCUUUAAGGGUUGGUCUGUUCGACCAUUAAUAUUCUACGUGAUCUGAGUUCAGACCGGCGUGAGCCAGGUCAGUUUCUAUCUUCAAUUUAAAAUGAUUUGUUUAGUACGAAAGGACCAACAUGCCACAUAAUAAUGUGUAAAAAGAAGAAAUAUAAUUGUGAAUUUAAUUUCUAUUAAAAACA
rnacentral:rRNA from 1 species